CGGGUUUUCCCCAAAUCCUUCCCUCUUAUCUUCACACGACCUUUAGGUUUUAUCUUUUAGAAUCACCUUCCCAAUCCCAUCAACGUUUCAGUCCAGUGGCUGGAGCUUCGAAUUAGGUAUGAACGAGCAUUGGCCGUAUCCCAAACCAGAAUUAGGGUUUCAAAUUGUACAAUUUGCAUAUUUAAGUUGAGGAGAUUUUCAUAUCGAUUACGUGGAGUGUGUACUCUUAUUCAAAUUGCAUCACUCAUUAGGUCCUUUGGAGAUCAAUGGCUACUCUUUCACUUGUGACUGUCGUCUCUGCCAUAUUACGAUGAGCCUUUCAUUCAGUACAAAGUCAGGCUCAAAACAAAUGUAAGCCUCUUGUGUUAGAAUCUCAAUUUCAAACAAGUCCAGACUUUGGAUUUUUUAUUGCUUGAUAUAUCUUGCUUAAUAAUAUUCGGCUAAAAUAAACUUGUGCUACCUUGUAACCUGGUACUUUCCAACAACUUAUUUGAAGACAAGCUCAAUAGUUAGUAUUUAGUUUAUUAGUUUUUUGAAUGUUAUAAAAUAGUUAUUUCCUUAGUUAUAUUUUAAGUUUCUAAGUUGCAUUAUGUUCAACAAGAUUAAAUUCUUGAUGGAAUUCUCAACAUGAUCACUAAUCCAAGGGUUGAAAGUUGAGGGAAGUCGUACUGGUAAAGUCAUAGCAAGAUGGUGAAGGUGACGAUAUCCUUAACUAUUGAUAUUACUAUUGUAAAUUCUUGGAACUCGCAUGCUUCAGCUUUGGCUAAUUUAGGAGCCAAAUCAUCAAUAACCAAACUUCUAACCUGGAUCACGGAUCCAUUAAAUUAUUCACAUAGACACCAAAAAUUGUUUUAUUCCUCUAUUUUGUUACCAUAGAUGGACUCUGUGAUUGUAUUGGUUGGGAUUUUCUAUAUUUUUACCAAGGUUCUAGAUUGAGGAUUUCAGGAUGGUGUUGAUAGUUGCAAGUUUGUGGUUAUAGACUUUUUAUGGGUUCUUUUCUUCAUGAAUCAAAGGAGCAGAGCUUCUAUUUGAUUUCUCUUUGUUUAUUUCUUCUCCUCCAUCAUCACCUUCUUAUUUAUUUUCUUUCAUUCACUAAUCCCAUCACCAUUGCUAUGAAUCGAAGUCCUUAUUGAUCAAUAUCUAUUUUUGUGGCUUCAUUGUUGGAGCAUAAGUAGCAUAUUCAGAAACAGAUGAAACGUCCACUACUGCUGAUCACCUUCAGAUAGAGCAAGACAUGACAUUUAAUUGGGAAAAAUCUCCUCACUUCAUCUAUGAAGUUGACUAAAUACCAUUAUUUCAUCUCCAUACUUAGAGGAAAGAUAAUCAUAGCUCUAAGAGCUACCACAUUCUUGGUGAAACUAGAAAAAAGCCCAGGUAUCCUAAGAUUUGAUUGCUCCCCUCAAUUGGGAAGUGGCAGCCCUUCCGAAUUUGGACAAAAAUCUUUUUUCCUUGCUGGUGUGGUUAAUGCAAUAACUCAGGAGUUGUGUAGCAAUACUCUUGAGUGUGUUAUCAAUAGGUUGAAAAUGGCAGCUCAAAAUUUUCUUUCGCUCGAAACAAGUGGAAGGAGCUCACAAGAUAGGAGAGACGUUAUGAUUAAAUUACAUUGUAUUUUUCAAGAUAAUCACAUUUUUAUCACAAGACUUAUUAUUUUGUCAUUAAUUGAUUAUAUUUGUGAUAAAACAUAGUAUUUGUCCUAGAA